rnacentral:rRNA from 2 species
GAGGAGGGUGAUCCGCCACCACUGGACUGAGACACGGCCCAGACUCCUACGGAGCAGCAGUAGGGAUCUCCGCAUGACGAAGUCUGACGGAGCAACGCCGCGUGAGUGAUGAAGGUUUUCGGAUCGUAAAACUCUGUGUUAGGGAAGAACAAGUGCGAGAGUAACUGCUCGCACCUUGACGGUACCUAACCAGAAAGGCCACGGCUAACUACGUGCCAGCAGCCGCGGUAAUACGUAGGUGGCAAGCGUUGUCCGGGAAUUAUUGGGCGUAAAGCGCGCGCAGGCGGUUUCUUAAGUCUGAUGUGAAAGCCCCCGGCUCAACCGGGGAGGGUCAUUGGAAACUGGGAAACUUGAGUGCAGAAGAGGAGAGUGGAAUUCCACGUGUAGCGGUGAAAUGCGUAGAGAUGUGGAGGAACACCAGUGGCGAAGGCGACUCUCUGGUCUGUAACUGACGCUGAGGCGCGAAAGCGUGGGGAGCGAACAGGAUUAGAUACCCUGGUAGUCCACGCCGUAAACGAUGAGUGCUAAGUGUUAGAGGGUUUCCGCCCUUUAGUGCUGCAGCUAACGCAUUAAGCACUCCGCCUGGGGAGUACGGUCGCAAGACUGAAACUCAAAGGAAUUGACGGGGGCCCGCACAAGCGGUGGAGCAUGUGGUUUAAUUCGAAGCAACGCGAAGAACCUUACCAGGUCUUGACAUCCUUUGCCACUUCUAGAGAUAGAAGGUUCCCCUUCGGGGGACAAAGUGACAGGUGGUGCAUGGUUGUCGUCAGCUCGUGUCGUGAGAUGUUGGGUUAAGUCCCGCAACGAGCGCAACCCUUGAUCUUAGUUGCCAGCAUUCAGUUGGGCACUCUAAGGUGACUGCCGGUGACAAACCGGAGGAAGGUGGGGAUGACGUCAAAUCAUCAUGCCCCUUAUGACCUGGGCUACACACGUGCUACAAUGGAUGGUACAAAGGGCUGCGAGACCGCGAGGUUUAGCCAAUCCCAUAAAACCAUUCUCAGUUCGGAUUGCAGGCUGCAACUCGCCUGCAUGAAGCUGGAAUCGCUAGUAAUCGCGGAUCAGCAUGCC